GAAAAGGAAUAAAAAGAAUCUAAAAUUUAGAAGAAAAAAUUGUUUAAUUCUACAUAUAAAAUUAGUUAAGCAUUUAUUAAAGUAUUCAUUAAUCUACUUAUUAAUGUCUAGUUUCAUGUAUAUUUGACAUGGAAAAGGUAUAUUGUUUUACAUUGAUUAUAAAUAAGGUUUAAUUACCUUUUUAGUCCCCAAGUUGGGGCAUAAUUUCUGUUUUGUAUCCGCUUUUAAAAGUGAUGUAAUUUGGUCCUCAUGUUACUAAUUUUGGUGUUAUUAGGUCCCUUCUGUUAAAUUGAUAGAAACAGUGUUAACUUCACAUUACGUCACUGCACUCUUCUUUUCUUUCCUCUGCUUUUCGUGACACUUCUUUCUCUCUCUUCUAUUUCUCUCUCAUCAUUUUCUCUCUCUUCUCACCACUGUACAUCAUCAUAUCCCUUUCUCAGUUGAGUAAUCCUUCCUGCACCUCCUGGAUCUCGUUCUGCACCUCCUACUUCUCUUUUAAUUCCAAUUGUACCCCUAUAUUUGUGACCUUAUUCAUUGGGUUUAUAAAAAGUAACUUUGUCUGCCGCAACUAAGAGAAAAAACCCUACACCCCUAUUUUCAUUCUUUCCUUCCCUUGACCAGUCUUCCUCUCCUCCCCUCCCUCUAACCAGUGCAUCCCUCCAACCAGUGCAACUCGUAUCCUACCAUCCAACCUGGUGCUAUCUUGACGUUGGGCGUGGGCUAUCAGCGUAGCUGGGUAGCAGUUCUUUGUGUUUGAAGUUUUUUUUCUGGCGUAAAGGUUAGUAUUUCUCCUCUCCUCUCGUAGAUCUUGUAAAAGAAUUUGAUGGAUUUUUCUGUGUGUAUAUGAACUGUGCGUGGAGAUGCCGUGAAGGGUUAACCGCAAAUGGUACUGCGGUUAACCCCUGUCGCAGUACGAACAACGGAUGGUUUUGGGGUGCGUUGUGGAACCGCAAGUUGUUUUACGGUUAAGGCACGCCGCAGCUGGAUCAAACUACGGUUGGCGUAAAACGCAGCUCAGACUGCGUUGAGGGAAAACGCAGCUUAGACUGCGUUGAGGGAAACGCAGCUCAGACUGCGGUUUUGGAUGCGUUUGCGGUUUCUU
rnacentral:lncRNA from 1 species